rnacentral:rRNA from 1 species
GAAUUUUAUAUGGUAUUUAUUGGAAAUAAAUGAGAGUAAAAGUAAAAUAGUUUAUAAUUAUAGUAAAUAUUAUAUUUCGUUGGGAGGAUUUUUAAAUUUUAUUAACUUUAAAAUAAAUUACGAUAUUAAUUAUUGAAAUUUGUGAGUAAUUAGUUAGUAAAUUAAGAUAGAAUUGAUUACCUUAGGGAUAACAGCGUAAUAAUUUUAGAAAGAUCAUAUUGAUAAAGUUGAUUGC